rnacentral:rRNA from 1 species
UACAGAGGUCUCAAGCGUUGUUCGGAUUCAUUGGGCGUAAAGGGUGCGUAGGCGGCGGAGUAAGUUGGGUGUGAAAUCCCGGGGCUCAACCUCGGAAUGGCAUUCAAUACUGCUUCGCUAGAGUACUGGAGAGGAGGCUGGAAUUUACGGUGUAGCAGUGAAAUGCGUAGAUAUCGUAAGGAAGGCCGGUGGCGAAAGCGAGCCUCUGGACAGUUACUGACGCUGAUGCACGAAGGCCAGGGAGCAAACGGG